UAAGCGACUAAGCGUACACGGUGGAUGCCCUGGCAGUCAGAGGCGAUGAAGGACGUGCUAAUCUGCGAUAAGCGUCGGUAAGGUGAUAUGAACCGUUAUAACCGGCGAUUUCCGAAUGGGGAAACCCAGUGUGUUUCGACACACUAUCAUUAACUGAAUCCAUAGGUUAAUGAGGCGAACCGGGGGAACUGAAACAUCUAAGUACCCCGAGGAAAAGAAAUCAACCGAGAUUCCCCCAGUAGCGGCGAGCGAACGGGGAGCAGCCCAGAGCCUGAAUCAGUAUGUGUGUUAGUGGAAGCGUCUGGAAAGGCGCGCGAUACAGGGUGACAGCCCCGUACACAAAAAUGCACAUGCUGUGAGCUCGAUGAGUAGGGCGGGACACGUGGUAUCCUGUCUGAAUAUGGGGGGACCAUCCUCCAAGGCUAAAUACUCCUGACUGACCGAUAGUGAACCAGUACCGUGAGGGAAAGGCGAAAAGAACCCCGGCGAGGGGAGUGAAAAAGAACCUGAAACCGUGUACGUACAAGCAGUGGGAGCACGCUUAGGCGUGUGACUGCGUACCUUUUGUAUAAUGGGUCAGCGACUUAUAUUCUGUAGCAAGGUUAACCGAAUAGGGGAGCCGAAGGGAAACCGAGUCUUAACUGGGCGUUAAGUUGCAGGGUAUAGACCCGAAACCCGGUGAUCUAGCCAUGGGCAGGUUGAAGGUUGGGUAACACUAACUGGAGGACCGAACCGACUAAUGUUGAAAAAUUAGCGGAUGACUUGUGGCUGGGGGUGAAAGGCCAAUCAAACCGGGAGAUAGCUGGUUCUCCCCGAAAGCUAUUUAGGUAGCGCCUCGUGAAUUCAUCUCCGGGGGUAGAGCACUGUUUCGGCAAGGGGGUCAUCCCGACUUACCAACCCGAUGCAAACUGCGAAUACCGGAGAAUGUUAUCACGGGAGACACACGGCGGGUGCUAACGUCCGUCGUGAAGAGGGAAACAACCCAGACCGCCAGCUAAGGUCCCAAAGUCAUGGUUAAGUGGGAAACGAUGUGGGAAGGCCCAGACAGCCAGGAUGUUGGCUUAGAAGCAGCCAUCAUUUAAAGAAAGCGUAAUAGCUCACUGGUCGAGUCGGCCUGCGCGGAAGAUGUAACGGGGCUAAACCAUGCACCGAAGCUGCGGCAGCGACGCUGAUGCGUUGUUGGGUAGGGGAGCGUUCUGUAAGCCUGCGAAGGUGUGCUGUGAGGCAUGCUGGAGGUAUCAGAAGUGCGAAUGCUGACAUAAGUAACGAUAAAGCGGGUGAAAAGCCCGCUCGCCGGAAGACCAAGGGUUCCUGUCCAACGUUAAUCGGGGCAGGGUGAGUCGACCCCUAAGGCGAGGCCGAAAGGCGUAGUCGAUGGGAAACAGGUUAAUAUUCCUGUACUUGGUGUUACUGCGAAGGGGGGACGGAGAAGGCUAUGUUGGCCGGGCGACGGUUGUCCCGGUUUAAGCGUGUAGGCUGGUUUUCCAGGCAAAUCCGGAAAAUCAAGGCUGAGGCGUGAUGACGAGGCACUACGGUGCUGAAGCAACAAAUGCCCUGCUUCCAGGAAAAGCCUCUAAGCAUCAGGUAACAUCAAAUCGUACCCCAAACGACACAGGUGUCAGGUAGAGAAUACCAAGGCGCUUGAGAGAACUCGGGUAGAAGGAACUAGGCAAAAUGGUGCCGUAACUUCGGGAGAAGGCACGCUGAUAUGUAGGUGAAGUCCCUCGCGGAUGGAGCUGAAAUCAGUCGAAGAUACCAGCUGGCUGCAACUGUUUAUUAAAAACACAGCACUGUGCAAACACGAAAGUGGACGUAUACGGUGUGACGCCUGCCCGGUGCCGGAAGGUUAAUUGAUGGGGUUAGCGCAAGCGAAGCUCUUGAUCGAAGCCCCGGUAAACGGCGGCCGUAACUAUAACGGUCCUAAGGUAGCGAAAUUCCUUGUCGGGUAAGUUCCGACCUGCACGAAUGGCGUAAUGAUGGCCAGGCUGUCUCCACCCGAGACUCAGUGAAAUUGAACUCGCUGUGAAGAUGCAGUGUACCCGCGGCAAGACGGAAAGACCCCGUGAACCUUUACUAUAGCUUGACACUGAACAUUGAGCCUUGAUGUGUAGGAUAGGUGGGAGGCUUUGAAGUGUGGACGCCAGUCUGCAUGGAGCCGACCUUGAAAUACCACCCUUUAAUGUUUGAUGUUCUAACGUUGACCCGUAAUCCGGGUUGCGGACAGUGUCUGGUGGGUAGUUUGACUGGGGCGGUCUCCUCCUAAAGAGUAACGGAGGAGCACGAAGGUUGGCUAAUCCUGGUCGGACAUCAGGAGGUUAGUGCAAUGGCAUAAGCCAGCUUGACUGCGAGCGUGACGGCGCGAGCAGGUGCGAAAGCAGGUCAUAGUGAUCCGGUGGUUCUGAAUGGAAGGGCCAUCGCUCAACGGAUAAAAGGUACUCCGGGGAUAACAGGCUGAUACCGCCCAAGAGUUCAUAUCGACGGCGGUGUUUGGCACCUCGAUGUCGGCUCAUCACAUCCUGGGGCUGAAGUAGGUCCCAAGGGUAUGGCUGUUCGCCAUUUAAAGUGGUACGCGAGCUGGGUUUAGAACGUCGUGAGACAGUUCGGUCCCUAUCUGCCGUGGGCGCUGGAGAACUGAGGGGGCUGCUCCUAGUACGAGAGGACCGGAGUGGACGCAUCACUGGUGUUCGGGUUGUCAUGCCAAUGGCACUGCCCGGUAGCUAAAUGCGGAAGAGAUAAGUGCUGAAAGCAUCUAAGCACGAAACUUGCCCCGAGAUGAGUUCUCCCUGACUCCUUGAGAGUCCUGAAGGAACGUUGAAGACGACGACGUUGAUAGGCCGGGUGUGUAAGCGCAGCGAUGCGUUGAGCUAACCGGUACUAAUGAACCGUGAGGCUUAACCU
rnacentral:rRNA from 1 species